rnacentral:lncRNA from 1 species
GUUAAUAUUAAAAAUACUUACAUUUGGAUGAAAAUAUAAAUUAACUUAUACAAUAAAUUCUCAACUAUCUUUUGUCUAAAAAACUUUUGAAUGGUAAGUACCGAUGAAGCUUCAGCCAGAUAGUCAUUAUAUGGACAAAAAGUGUAACAAUUUAGUAGAUUUUUCAUUUGUAUUGAGUUUUUAUUGUAUUUGUCUUAGAUCCAAUAAUAAACCUGAUAUGACAGUUCUUAUGUGCAUGUGUAGUGCAGAAGCAAUUUACAAAACCAUAUUUAUUUGUUUCUGAUAUGGAAUAUUAUUGGAAUUUCAGAGUACAGGCACACCUUGUUAUUUUGGCAGUUAUAUUCCAGACCAUUGCUAUAAAGGAGGGAUGCAUAGACCAUGGCCUUCCAUUUGAUUUGUUGGCAGCCAGUUUCACCAUUUGUUAUUUUAACAAGUCACACCUUGUUAUUUUGGCAGUUAUAUUCCAGACCAUUGCUAUAAAGGAGGGAUGCAUAGACCAUGGCCUUCCAUUUGAUUUGUUGGCAGCCAGUUUCACCAUUUGUUAUUUUAACAAGUCACACAAUGAAUAGAAUAUUAUUUGUAGUUGUGAACAAUGUAUUUUCAAAUAAUAAUUUUCUGAUGUGAAAUUAUUUUUACAGUAGUUCAAUGAUAAUGUUUUUAAACAAUAAGGAG